AACGAACGCUGGCGGCAGGCCUAACACAUGCAAGUCGAACGCUCGUAGCAAUACGGGAGUGGCAGACGGGUGCGUAACGCGUGGGAACAUACCCUUUGGUUCGGAAUAACUCAGGGAAACUUGAGCUAAUACCGGAUACGCCCGAGAGGGGAAAGAUUUAUUGCCGAAGGAUUGGCCCGCGUCUGAUUAGCUAGUUGGUAGGGUAACGGCCUACCAAGGCGACGAUCAGUAGCUGGUCUGAGAGGAUGAUCAGCCACACUGGGACUGAGACACGGCCCAGACUCCUACGGGAGGCAGCAGUGGGGAAUAUUGGACAAUGGGCGCAAGCCUGAUCCAGCCAUGCCGCGUGAGUGAUGACGGCCUUAGGGUUGUAAAGCUCUUUUACCUGGGAAGAUAAUGACGGUACCAGGAGAAUAAGCCCGGCUAACUCGUGCCAGCAGCCGCGGUAAU
rnacentral:rRNA from 1 species